AUACGUAGGGGGCGAGCGUUGUCCGGAAUGAUUGGGCGUAAAGGGCGCGUAGGCGGCCCGAUAAGUCUGGAGUGAAAGUCCUGUUUUUAAGAUGGGAAUUGCUUUGGAUACUGUCGGGCUUGAGUGCAGGAGAGGUAAGUGGAAUUCCCAGUGUAGCGGUGAAAUGCGUAGAGAUUGGGAGGAACACCAGUGGCGAAGGCGACUUACUGGACUGUAACUGACGCUGAGGCGCGAAAGUGUGGGGAGCAAACAGGAUUAGAUACCCUGGUAGUCCACACUGUAAACGAUGAAUGCUAGGUGUAGGGGGUAUCGACCCCUUCUGUGCCGCAGUCAACACAAUAAGCAUUCCGCCUGGGGAGUACGGCCGCAAGGUUGAAACUUAAAGGAAUUGACGGGG
rnacentral:rRNA from 1 species